rnacentral:rRNA from 1 species
CCUACGGGGCGCUGCAGUGGGGAAUAUUGGGCAAUGGGCGCAAGCCUGACCCAGCAACGCCGCGUGAAGGAAGAAGGCUUUCGGGUUGUAAACUUCUUUUAUCAGGGACGAAACAAGUGACGGUACCUGAUGAAUAAGCCACGGCUAACUACGUGCCAGCAGCCGCGGUAAUACGGAGGUGGCAAGCGUUAUCCGGAUUUACUGGGUGUAAAGGGCUGGUAGGCGGGAGUUCAAGUCAGAUGUGAAAACUAUGGGCUCAACCCAUAGCCUGCAUUUGAAACUGGACUUCUUGAGUGCUGGAGAGGCAAGCGGAAGUCCGGGUGUAGCGGUGAAAUGCGUAGAUAUACGGAGGAACACCAGUGGCGAAGGCGGAUUGCUGGACAGUAACUGACGCUGAUGCGCGAAAGCGUGGGGAGCAAACAGGAUUAGAUACCCUAGUAGUC